UCCGUAGGUGGAUAAUUAAGUCAGUGGUGAAAUCCCAGAGCUCAACUCUGGAACUGCCAUUGAUACUGCUGGUCUUGAAUUUAGUUGAGGUGGGCGGAAUACGUUAUGUAGCGGUGAAAUGCAUAGAUAUAACGUAGAACACCGAUUGCGAAGGCAGCUCACUAAGCUAACAUUGACGCUGAUGGACGAAAGCGUGGGGAGCGAACAGGAUUAGAUACCCUGGUAGUCC
rnacentral:rRNA from 1 species